CCUACGGGAGGCAGCAGUGGGGAAUAUUGCACAAUGGGGGAAACCCUGAUGCAGCGACGCCGCGUGAGUGAAGAAGUAUCUCGGUACGUAAAGCUCUAUCAGCAGGGGAGAAAAUGACGGUACCUGACUAAGAAGCCCCGGCUACCUACGUGCCAGCAGCCGCGGUAAUACGUAGGGGGCAAGCGUUAUCCGGAUUUACUGGGUGUAAAGGGAGCGUAGACGGCAGCACAAGUCUGGAGUGAAAUCCCGGGGCUUAACCCCGGAACGGCUUUGGAAACUGUGCGGCUGGAGUGCAGGAGGGGUACGCGGAAUGCCUAGUGUAGCGGUGAAAUGCGUAGAUAUUAGGAGGAACACCGGUGGCGAAGGCGGCUUACUGGACUGUAACUGACGUUGAGGCUCGAAAGCGUGGGGGGCAAACAGGAUUAGAUACCCCAGUAGUC
rnacentral:rRNA from 1 species